GCUAAGGUGUGUGUUGGCGAGUGGGAGGUCUGGAGUUCAAGUCCCUGCAUGAGCAAGGGAAUUAUUUUUUGUUGCUUGGCCGUGUGGCAUGGUGGAGUCCUAGUCAAAUUGAAAUUUUGAGUAGUGGAGUUGUUGUAGGAGGUUAGGGGGAGAAUUAAGGAGAUGAGUUGCCAAAUUUUUAGGUAUUAUCUUUUUGUUUAUUUUUUUUCAAAUUUCAGACUCUUUUUC
rnacentral:lncRNA from 1 species